rnacentral:rRNA from 1 species
GAUGAACGCUGGCGGCGUGCUUAACACAUGCAAGUCGAACGAGAAAUGUAGACGGAAACCUUCGGGCGGAAGCCUUCAUUUCGAGUGGCGGACGGGUGAGUAACGCGUGGGUAACCUGCCUCAUACAGGGGGAUAACAGUUGGAAACGACUGUUAAUACCGCAUAAGACCACAGCAUCGCAUGAUGCGGGGGUAAAAACUCCGGUGGUAUGAGAUGGACCCGCGUUCGAUUAGCCAGUUGGCGGGGUAACGGCCCACCAAAGCGACGAUCGAUAGCCGAUCUGAGAGGAUGACCGGCCACAGUGGGACUGAGACACGGCCCACACUCCUACGGGAGGCAGCAGUGGGGAAUAUUGCACAAUGGGGGAAACCCUGAUGCAGCGACGCCGCGUGAGUGAAGAAGUACUUCGGGAUGUAAAGCUCUAUCAGCAGGGAAGAAAAUGACGGUACCUGAGGAAGAAGCCCCGGCUAACUACGUG